rnacentral:rRNA from 1 species
CCUANGGGUGGCUGCAGUAGGGAAUAUUGGGCAAUGGGCGAAAGCCUGACCCAGCAACGCCGCGUGCAUGAUGAAGGUCUUCGGAUCGUAAAAUGCUUUUCUGAGAGAUGAGAAAGGACAGUAUCUCAGGAAUAAGUCUCGGCUAACUACGUGCCAGCAGCCGCGGUAAAACGUAGGAGGCGAGCGUUAUCCGGAUUUACUGGGCGUAAAGCGCGUGCAGGCGGUUUGGUAAGUUGGAUGUGAAAGCUCCCGGCUCAACUGGGAGAGGUCGUUCAAUACUACCAGACUAGAGAGCGGUAGAGGGAGGUGGAAUUCCCGGUGUAGUGGUGAAAUGCGUAGAUAUCGGGAGGAACACCAGUGGCGAAAGCGGCCUCCUGGACCGUUUCUGACGCUCAGACGCGAAAGCUAGGGUAGCAAACGGGAUUAGAUACCCUANUANUC